UAUGUGAUCGUCUCUCGCAUAUCAAUAAGCGGAGGAAAAGAAACUAACAAGGAUUCCCCUAGUAACGGCGAGUGAAGCGGGAAGAGCUCAAAUUUGAAAUCUUAAAGGGUUUCCCUUUACGAAUUGUAGUUUAAAGAAGUGUUUUCUGUUGAGGUUUUGGUAAAAGUUCUUUGGAAUAGGACAUCAUAGAGGGUGAGAAUCCCGUAUUUGACCUUUACUUUCAACUUUGUGAUACACUUUCAAAGAGUCGGAUUGUUUGGGAAUGCAGUCCAAAAUGGGUGGUAAAUUUCAUCUAAAGCUAAAUAUUGGCGAGAGACCGAUAGCGAACAAGUACCGUGAGGGAAAGAUGAAAAGAACUUUGAAAAGAGAGUUAAACAGUACGUGAAAUUGUCAAAAGGGAAGCGUUUGACACCAGUGUUGUUUUUCUGAAAAUCAAUUAAAGAACUGUUUAUGCUAAGCUGUUUAGACUUUAUCAGCUAACUGUUUAGUUUUGAGCUUUUCUUUAAUGCACUUUUCAGUUAACAAGUCAACAUCAAUUUCUUUUGCUGUAAAAAAGCUUGAGGAAGGUGGCUUGAGAUUCGUCUUAAGUGUUUAUAGCCUCUUGCCUAUGCAGUCGGAGAGAUUGAGGUCUGCAGCGUAGAUCCUUCGGGGCUAAAUGCAUUUGUGCUAAGUUAUAGCAUUUUAUAGACAACUUGUUGACUAUGAUUUGUCUUGUAGCUUACUCGCUUAUGUUAUUUUACCUACGCUUAGGAUGUUGAUAUCGCGCUCUCACG
rnacentral:rRNA from 1 species